CCAGAGCUCCCUGGAGGUCAAAGCAACUGAGCAGAGGAAUCAGUCUGUGUUCACCUGUCGGGUUGUGCACGAUUCCCAGCUCCCCGUCAAUGCCAACGCGACGCUGAGACUCUCCCAGGUUCCUGCUGAGCCAGCAGGUCAGAGUCUGUUCUCCAGCCCCGCUCUCUGGAUCGGGCUCGUCCUGGAGAAGGUGCUGACAGCCGCCUUCCUCUUCUUCCUCUUCCUGAGAAGCAAAGCGUAACCAGCCCCUGGUCUAUUUCCCUGUUUUCUCGCACUGUCGCCACCUGCCAACUUCUCUGUCUGCAGCCUCUGUCCCCCAGAGCAGGAAACCAGUCCCUAGAUGGUGGAGCUGCAGUGACCCCUGCUGGCCAAUCAGAUGGAGCCCAGGCUUGACAGAGCGAAGGUGAAGGGGUGACCUGGUUACAAUCUAUAAGUACCUACGUGACAUGGGGAACGAACAUUUCAUAAUGGGCUCGUCAGUCUGGCAGAUAAAAGUCUGACACACGAUCCAAUGGCUGGAAGUUGAAAUCAGACAAAUUCUGACUGGAAAUGAGGCCUAAAUUUUUAAUGGUGAGAGUAAUUAACCAUUGGAACAAUUUACCAAGAGUUGUGGUGGAUUCUCCAUCAC